rnacentral:lncRNA from 1 species
AUUAUUCAAAUGACAACCCGUCUUAUUAUGACCCUUUGCAUGACAAAAACUGCAGGUCAUCUCAACACCUCUCUUGGACAAUUUUCCUGUUUUGUUUUCAUUCUGCUCCUUUCUCCUACACUUUCUAGGCCUUCCUGGUAGUGUUUUUAUAACAGGUGGUAUAACAGAAGGGUUGGCCGACUGUGGCCACAUUUUCAUGUUAGUAACUGGUUGAAUGUAGUGACUAUAGACCUUGAGAUAAGUCUCCUUGCUAUACCAAUGUGCAACAUAGUUAAUGGGCUCCAAUUUUCUAAAAUGAAGUGCAGCUAUAACAUGACAACAAGGUAUACCUCUUAGCAUCCAAGAUCUACAAGUACAUGUU